rnacentral:rRNA from 1 species
UGGGGAAUAUUGGACAAUGGGCGCAAGCCUGAUCCAGCCAUGCCGCGUGAGUGAUGAAGGCCCUAGGGUUGUAAAGCUCUUUCACCGGUGAAGAUAAUGACGGUAACCGGAGAAGAAGCCCCGGCUAACUUCGUGCCAGCAGCCGCGGUAAUACGAAGGGGGCUAGCGUUGUUCGGAUUUACUGGGCGUAAAGCGCACGUAGGCGGGCUAAUAAGUCAGGGGUGAAAUCCCGGGGCUCAACCCCGGAACUGCCUUUGAUACUGUUAGUCUUGAGUAUGGUAGAGGUGAGUGGAAUUCCGAGUGUAGAGGUGAAAUUCGUAGAUAUUCGGAGGAACACCAGUGGCGAAGGCGGCUCACUGGACCAUUACUGACGCUGAGGUGCGAAAGCGUGGGGAGCAAACAGG